rnacentral:rRNA from 1 species
GAUGAACGCUGGCGGCGUGCCUAAUACAUGCAAGUCGAACGGCAGCACGGGAGCUUGCUCCUGGUGGCGAGUGGCGAACGGGUGAGUAAUGCGUCGGAACGUACCGAGUAAUGGGGGAUAACGCAGCGAAAGCUGUGCUAAUACCGCAUACGCCCUGAGGGGGAAAGUGGGGGAUCGUAAAGACCUCACGUUAUUCGAGCGGCCGACGUCUGAUUAGCUAGUUGGUGGGGUAAAGGCCUACCAAGGCGACGAUCAGUAGCGGGUCUGAGAGGAUGAUCCGUCACACUGGAACUGAGACACGGUCCAGACUCCUACGGGUGGCAG